CCAAGCCAGGAUAGGAUAGGAUAGUUUGCAUCGCAGUCCUUUCGGCGUUCCUCCCGUUCCAUCCAUGUGUAGCGCCGUCGCGUGCCUCCACGAUCGGAGUAAGCCCGGCGGCAGCGCGGGUGCUACCCCCCUACGGCUUGUCCAGCAAGCGCGGGCUCGAGCCUCGUGCUCUCUCCCUCCCAUCCACUCGGGCAAUUGGCAAAGCCUCCCCUCCCGUCCCGUCCGCGGCACCUCCAGUGGCAAAGACUUGGAGCCCUGCGUGCGGCCGCGGACAAGCAAAUUCUUGGCGUACGGAGUACGGAGAAUCGGAGCUUGCCUGGCAUCGUCAUGGAGGAUCCAUUCCAUCCAACCCGAUCUGGGCGGGAGCUGCCAGUGCCAGCCAUGGAGGAUUCUCGAUUCAAACACCAUGGCCGAUGGAUCCGCAUCAGCAAGUCUGUAUCCCCGCAGAGAUCUCGUGAAUCUGGAGUAUGAUUUCCAUGGAUGGCGAUUCGAGCAAGUCAGGACUGAAGUUUCUGACAGAAACUAUGGUGAACGGGGUCAGGAACCACCUGACUGGAGAUCAAGAGAUUUUGCGUGCUACGGCUGACCCUGGUGAGAGCAGGUUCGAGCCAUGUGAGCUCACUGCCCGUACCAUUGCUUACUCCUGGUCCACUUUGUGGCUGCUCCUAUUCGAGUCUUUUUCACAGUAUCAACUUGCUUGAUCAACACAGCAGAGAGGAAUCACCUACUGUUGACACUGACAACAAAAGCAGAGCACCACAACCUACAGCAGACCAGCACAGCAGGGAAGUUCAAAUUGAUCCAAUCUCGUGGGAUUUUCACUCCAGUGGCAGAAGGGAUACUACCGGCGGCAAGCAACACGGCUCCUCCUCAUGUGGCGAGCUACAGGGGGUCAAUUUGAGCCAAAGCAAGCACCGAAUCAACGGAUGUUUGAGAGGAGCGGAGGAGUUGUAGGAUCAAUUCCAGAAAGAUCUCAGGCUCUUGAUUGAAGCUGUGGCGGCCAGCGAGGGGCGGCGAGGGAGAUGUGGUCGGCGGGGGCGACGGAGGAGCUGUGGCCGGCGGGGAUGGAGCUGAGGCUCUCGAUUGGAGCGGAGGAAGACGGAGGGAGAUGAGGGUGCUGCGGACUGGAGAACCCUGACAGAGGGGAGGAUCCUGGUAGAGGGGCCCGGCGAAGGGGAGGAACCUGGCGGAGGGAUGGGCCUGGCGGACGGGAGGGGCGUGGUGGACGGGAGGAAGACGACGAUCCUAGCAGGAUUUUUAAAUCAGGGGUAGUUUGGUAUUUGUACACGUUUUCACCUGGUCCGAAAAUACUCCGAGCGACAACUAUUUCGGAACGGAGGGAGUACAAAACAUAAAUAUGUUAGGCUCAACUACUUACACCGACAACUUAGGUUAAGAAAGAUAAACAAUAAUGUGGUAGCAAGAUAUAUAACAACAAGCACUAUAGCUAUCACAAAGUAAGUGCACAAGUAAAGGGCUCACAUAAGAUAUAAUCAAGGCAUGCGAAUGCGGCGAUAUAUCCUGAAGUUCACACCCUUAUGGUUGCUAAUCUCCAUUAGAGAAGUGUGGAGACACAAUGCUCCCCAAAAUGCCACUAGGGCUAGUGUACUCUCCUCACACCCUCACAUAGUACAAGAUGUCAUGAUUCUACUAAGGGAUACUUGAGGGCGUUCACCGAACCCGUACAAUUGGCAACCCUUGGGGGCAGUCACCGAACCCGUACAAUUGGCAACCUUUGGGGACGAAUUUGUAUAAAUCGCCCAAGACAAUCUCCACAACUUAAUUAGAGACCCCCGAUGCUUGCCUGGAUCUUUACACGAGAAUGACUGAGCCCCAUGAUACCACCAACCGUCUAAGGUCAGUGCUGCAGACGUGUCCUAUACAAAAGGUUUUACCCCUUUUUGCGAUAGAGAUUUAAAUUGCUGCUUUGCCUGUGUGUGCGACAGGGGGGUCCAUCCCACAUGACCCAGAAACUGUCGGCGAUAGGUCCUCCGAUCACACACAUUGAGCAAAAAGAGCGUAUGUGCAAUCGGGUGGGCCAUCGCAAAAAAUUAAACGAGACAAACCGAGUGAGAUGUUCUUAGCAUCUCACACGGGGCACAAUUUUUAUGUGGAAACGUUUGGGCAAGGUGUCCAAAGGCAAAUAUUUGUCACGCGAAAGACUUGUGUGAUUGUUCAUUGAUCCAACACGCUUACUUUCUAGAAACUGUGUGGGAUGUUUGAGGUCAUCGCCCACGGUGCUGUCCCAGAAACCGUAUGCAUUAGAAAACCCCCAUAAGAAGGCUAAUUGGCCUAUUACUGAUAAUCCACUUAGUAAUCAAAAUGAAAUUUCAAAUCAAACAGACCAUAUAUUUCCUAUCCAUAUUACAGCAACCAGGAUUUCAUAACUGAAUUACAUCAGAGUACAACAUCAGAUAGCUUCAGCACUCAAUUACAUUAUAUAUGCAUAUAGCUAGCUACGACAUUGCUCAAUAGCACAAAGUUCACAUGCAACAUCUAAAACCUUUGGAAAGUAGCAUCAUUUUCGGUGAAUAGACAUAUGAAUCUCAUGUGAAAUAUUGUUGAAUCUGAAGGCGAAUAUUGAGCCUUCAGUGACAUUGAAUGUCCUUGCAACUUUAGCCGAGUGAUUCUGGAUGAUUGCCCGCCAAACCUUUGUCCUAUUGAGGAAGACUUAAAUAUUGUACCAUGGGUAUUGAAUGAAUACCUUCUUUGUAUCUUGACCAUGCACGUAGUUUGAGAGGUAAUCAUUGGUGAACUGCUUUAUAAAGGACUGAAAACAAAUAUAUGCAUAAAUAUUUGUUGUAAAUUUUGAAAUGGAGCAAAGGAAAAAAACUAGAUAAAAGAGUU